rnacentral:rRNA from 1 species
AUGAACGCUGGCGGCGUGCCUAAUACAUGCAAGUCGAGCGAACAGACGAGGAGCUUGCUCCUCUGACGUUAGCGGCGGACGGGUGAGUAACACGUGGAUAACCUACCUAUAAGACUGGGAUAACUUCGGGAAACCGGAGCUAAUACCGGAUAAUAUAUUGAACCGCAUGGUUCAAUAGUGAAAGACGGUUUUGCUGUCACUUAUAGAUGGAUCCGCGCCGCAUUAGCUAGUUGGUAAGGUAACGGCUUACCAAGGCAACGAUGCGUAGCCGACCUGAGAGGGGGAGGGGCAAGAAUGAAAAGGGGAAAAGGCCCAGAAUCCAAGGGGAGGAAGAAGGGGGGAAUGUGCAGAAAGGGGGAAAAGCCUGGAGGAGGAAGGCCGGGGGGGUGAUGAAGGUUUUGGGGUCGGAAAACUGUGUUAUUAGGGAAGAAAAAAUGGGAAAGUAAAUAGGCAUGUUUAGAGGGACCCGAAGAAAAAAGCGCGGGAUAAUUAGGG